GAUGAACGCUAGCGGAAGGCAUAAUACAUGCAAGUCGAACGGAUGUAGCAAUACAUUAGUGGCGCACGGGUGCGUAACGCGUAUGCAACCUACCUUCAUCAGGGGGAUAACUACCCGAAAGGGUGGCUAACACCGCAUAAUACUAUUGAGUGGCAUCACUUGAUAUUUAAAUCUGAGGAGGAUGAAGAUGGGCAUGCGUCUGAUUAGCUAGUUGGUGUGGUAACGGCGCACCAAGGCGACGAUCAGUAGGGGAACUGAGAGGUUGGUCCCCCACACUGGCACUGGGAUACUGGCCAGACUCCUACGGGAGGGAGCAGUAGGGAAUAUUGGUCAAUGGUGGGAACACUGAACCAGCCAUUCCGCGUGCAGGAAGAAGGGUCUCUGACUUGUAAACUGCUUUAGCAAGGGAAGAAAAAGCUCAUGCGUGAGAAAUUGACGGUACCUUGAGAAUAAGCACCGGCUAACUACGUGCCAGCCGCCGCAGUAAUAC
rnacentral:rRNA from 1 species